GAUGAACGCUGGCGGCGUGCCUAAUACAUGCAAGUCGAGCGAACAGACGAGGAGCUUGCUCCUCUGACGUUAGCGGCGGACGGGUGAGUAACACGUGGAUAACCUACCUAUAAGACUGGGAUAACUUCGGGAAACCGGAGCUAAUACCGGAUAAUAUAUUUAACCGCAUGGUUCAAUAAUGAAAGACGGUUUUGCUGUCACUUAUAGAUGGAUCCGCGCCGCAUUAGCUAGUUGGUAAGGUAACGGCUUACCAAGGCAACGAUGCGUAGCCGACCUGAGAGGGUGAUCGGCCACACUGGAACUGAGACACGGUCCAGACUCCUACGGGAGGCAGCAGUAGGGAAUCUUCCGCAAUGGGCGAAAGCCUGACGGAGCAACGCCGCGUGAGUGAUGAAGGUCUUCGGAUCGUAAAACUCUGUUAUUAGGGAAGAACAAAUGUGUAAGUAACUAUGCACGUCUUGACGGUACCUAAUCAGAAAGCCACGGCUAACUACGUG
rnacentral:rRNA from 1 species